rnacentral:rRNA from 1 species
UACGAGAGGCCCCAAAACGUUUAUUCGGAUUUACUGGGCUUAAAGAGUUCGUAGGCGGUCCGUCAAGUGGGGUGUGAAAGCCCUCGGCUCAACCGAGGAAUUGCGCUCCAAACUGUCGGGCUCGAGGGAGAUAGAGGUGAGCGGAACUGAUGGUGGAGCGGUGAAAUGCGUUGAUAUCAUCAGGAACACCAGAGGCGAAGGCGGCUCACUGGGUCUCUUCUGACGCUGAGGAACGAAAGCUAGGGGAGCAAACGGG